UACGGAGGGAGCUAGCGUUGUUCGGAAUUACUGGGCGUAAAGCGUGCGCAGGCGGUUUUGCAAGCCGGAUGUGAAAUCCCCGGGCUCAACCUGGGAAUGGCAUUUGGGACUGCAAGGCUCGAGUGCGGCAGAGGAGACUGGAAUUCCUGGUGUAGCAGUGAAAUGCGUAGAUAUCAGGAGGAAUACCGAUGGCGAAGGCAGGUCUCUGGGCUGACACUGACGCUCAUGCACGAAAGCGUGGGGAGCAAACAGG
rnacentral:rRNA from 1 species